UGGCUGCUGCCCUAUCAUCCCCAA
rnacentral:misc_RNA from 1 species